AUCCAGACGACGGGUCCCAAAUAGGACGAAACGCGUGUCCUGGAU
rnacentral:hammerhead_ribozyme from 1 species